rnacentral:rRNA from 1 species
UCCCCUAGUAACUGCGAGUGAAGCGGGAAAAGCUCAAAUUUAAAAUCUGGCGGUCUUUGGCCGUCCGAGUUGUAGUCUGGAGAAGUGCUUUCCGCGCUGGACCGUGUACAAGUCUCUUGGAACAGAGCGUCAUAGAGGGUGAGAAUCCCGUCUUUGACACGGACUACCAGUGCUUUGUGAUGCGCUCUCAAAGAGUCGAGUUGUUUGGGAAUGCAGCUCUAAAUGGGUGGUAAAUUCCAUCUAAAGCUAAAUAUUGGCGAGAGACCGAUAGCGAACAAGUACCGUGAGGGAAAGAUGAAAAGCACUUUGGAAAGAGAGUUAAACAGUACGUGAAAUUGCUGAAAGGGAAACGCUUGAAGUCAGUCGCGUUGGCCGGGACUCAGCCUUGCUUUUGCUUGGUGCAUUUUCCGGUUGACGGGCCAGCAUCGAUUUUGACCGUCGGAAAAGGGCUGGGGAAAUGUGGCACCUUCGGGUGUGUUAUAGUCUCUAGUCGCAUACGGCGGUCGGGAUCGAGGAACGCAGCGCGCCGCAAGGCAGGGGUUCGCCCACUUUCGCGCUUAGGAUGCUGGCAUAAUGGCUUUAAACGACCCGUCUUGAAACACGGACCAAGGAGUCUAACUUACCUGCGAGUGUUUGGGUGGAAAACCCGAGCGCGUAAUGAAAGUGAAAGUUGAGACCUCUGUCGUGGAGGGCAUCGACGCCCGGACCUGACGUUCUCUGACGGAUCCGCGGUAGAGCAUGUAUGUUGGGACCCGAAAGAUGGUGAACUAUGCCUGAAUAGGGUGAAGCCAGAGGAAACUCUGGUGGAGGCUCGUAGCGAUUCUGACGUGCAAAUCGAUCGUCAAAUUUGGG